rnacentral:piRNA from 1 species
GACAUUGGUGGUUCAGUGGUAGAAUUCU